rnacentral:rRNA from 1 species
UACGUAGGGUGCGAGCGUUGUCCGGAAUUAUUGGGCGUAAAGGGCUCGUAGGCGGUUUGUCGCGUCGGGAGUGAAAUCCACUGGCUUAACUGGUGGCUUGCUUUCGAUACGGGCAGACUGGAGGUAUGCAGGGGAGAACGGAAUUCCUGGUGUAGCGGUGAAAUGCGCAGAUAUCAGGAGGAACACCGGUGGCGAAGGCGGGUUGCUGGGCUGACGCUGACGCUGAGGCGCGAAAGCUAGGGGAGCGAACGGG